GAUGAACGCUGGCGGCGUGCUUAACACAUGCAAGUCGAACGGUGAAGCAGGAGCUUGCUCUUGUGGAUCAGUGGCGAACGGGUGAGUAACACGUGAGCAACCUGCCCCUGACUCUGGGAUAAGCGCUGGAAACGGCGUCUAAUACUGGAUAUGUGAUGUGACCGCAUGGUCUGCAUCUGGAAAGAAUUUCGGUUGGGGAUGGGCUCGCGGCCUAUCAGCUUGUUGGUGAGGUAAUGGCUCACCAAGGCGUCGACGGGUAGCCGGCCUGAGGGGGUGACCGGCCACACUGGGACUGAGGCACGGCCCAGACUCCUACAGGAGGCGGCAGUGGGGAAUAUUGCACAAUGGGCGGAAGCCUGAUGCAGCAACGCCGCGUGAGGGAUGACGGCCUUCGGGUUGUAAACCUCUUUUAGCAGGGAAGAAGCGAAAGUGACGGUACCUGCAGAAAAAGCACCGGCUAACUACGUGCCAGCCGCCGCCGUAA
rnacentral:rRNA from 1 species